rnacentral:rRNA from 1 species
UGAAUACGAGACGCUAAGGCGUCGAAGUAGUGUAUGUCAUACUUCCAAGAAAAGCUUGCACUGUCAUAGAUAAAAAACGCCUGUACCAUAACCGACACAGGUGGGUAGGUAGAGUAUACUAAGGGGCGCGAGAUAACUCUCACUAAGGAACUCGGCAAAAUGACUCCGUAACUUCGGGAGAAGGAGUGCCUUAUUCUUAAGGUUGCAAUAACAAGAUCCAAGCAACUGUUUAUCAAAAACACAGGUCUCCGCUAAGUCGUAAGACGAUGUAUGGGGGCUGACGCCUGCCCAGUGCCAGAAGGUUAAAGAAGUUGGUUAGCAUUUGCGAAGCUGAUAACUGAAGCCCUGGUGAACGGCGGCCGUAACUAUAACGGUCCUAAGGUAGCGAAAUUCCUUGUCGGGUAAGUUCCGACCCGCACGAAAGGCGUAAUGAUUUGGAUACUGUCUCGGAGAGGGGCUCGGUGAAAUAGACUUGUCUGUGAAGAUGCGGACUACCUGCACCAGGACAGAAAGACCCUAUGAAGCUUUACUGUAACUUGAAAUUGAAAUUGGACUUUAUUCGCGCAGUAUAGGUGGGAGGCGUUGAUUAUAAUCUUGCGGGAUUAUUGGAGCCAUCAGUGAGAUACCACCCUUGUAAUGUUAGAUUUCUAACUUUGAAUCAUUAUCUGGUCAAAGAACAGUUUCAGGCGGGCAGUUUGACUGGGGCGGUCGCCUCCUAAACGGUAACGGAGGCGUACAAAGGUUUCCUCUGAACGGUUAGAAAUCGUAUCUAGAGUGUAAAGGCAUAAGGAAGCUUGACUGUGAGACCUACAAGUCGAGCAGGGACGAAAGUCGGUCUUAGUGAUCUGACGGUACUGAGUGGAAAGGCCGUCACUCAACGGAUAAAAGUUACUCUAGGAUAACAGGCUGAUCUCCCCCAAGAGUUCACAUCGACGGGGAGGUUUGGCACCUCGGUGUCGGCUCAUCGCAUCCUGGGGCGGUAGUACGUCCCAAGGGUUGGGCUGUUCGCCCAUGAAAGCGGUACGCGAGCUGGGUUCAGAACGUCGUGAGACAGUUCGGUCCAUAUCCGGUGUAGGCGUUAGAAUAUUGAGAGGAGCCUUCUUUAGUACGAGAGGACCGAGAAGGACAUACCUCUGGUGUACCAGUUAUCGUGCCAACGGUAAACGCUGGGUAGCUAUGUAUGGAGUGGAUAACCGCUGAAAGCAUCUAAGUGGGAAGCCCACCUCAAGAUAAGUAUUCUCAUC